rnacentral:miRNA from 1 species
CGGCGCGACCGGCCCGGGG